GACCUUGACAUGUGGACAAAUGGUGACCUGCGAAGACUCCACAUAGUCAGCUGCAGGAGUGUCUUCUGAGAAUCUCCAUGAGGCCGGAUGCUGAAUUAGGGUCGGAGGGGUCGAGGAGCCUGGAUCCCGCCUGAGCUGGGCGUGCGCCAUCGUGGAAGCACCACGGGGAUUGCCAGGACAGGUGACUCACGGCCGGGAGUGAGCGGGCAGGAGCGGCCCCAGCCGGGCCACCAUCACCCAAGCAGGCUGCACAUCUCUCCACUCCACGACUCAGUCUCCUCGUAUGCCAAGUGGGAAUGAUAAAGGGUGGGUCUCAUAGUACCCAGAACACCUUUAGAAGAGGAGUUUUCCUCCAGUCUCCGGAAUGUCACUCUGUACACAGGAAGCAUCGAAACAGCUGGCAAGCCUCUUUUAGCUUCUCUAUUAUGUGAAUUCUGAGACCGACUCUAGUGCCACCAAGCGAAGCCAGUCCCUAAAGAUGGUGCCAAAAUACUUCGUCUACAGAGAGAUCGGGACUGCCGAUAGCUGCCGUGGGCAUCAGAUUCCCACAUUUGGGCUUCUAGGAAAAG
ensembl:lncRNA